rnacentral:lncRNA from 1 species
UCCAACACUUGCUCUGGUUAUUAUAAGUUUUGAGCUGUAAAUGACUGCAUUCAGCAGCAAACCCGUCAGGUUGGGGAGUUUUUCAUUAAAUGUUUGAUCUAGAAAUUUUUAAUCAGUGCACAAAUAAAACAAAUUACUAAAGCACUACAUCAGCUACGGUGUACGUAAUUGGGAUGAAUGGGUGAUGUAACCAGUGGGGAACAGCGCGGGCAUUCUUAGCAGAAGGCCUGGGGCUGCAGAACUUGUUACCACUAGAGAUGGAGGAGCCUGUGUCCUAACCUGUAUCUUGAACAUGCAGCUCCUCCUGAGAUCUGUGUUCCCUUUCCCUGCUGAGGACAGAGGAACGUCGUGCAGGACAGUUGGGACCAUCAGAUGGAGAGACGUGCUGCAAGUGAAGAAAUGCAGAUGUGACAUGCUCGACAUCCCACACGGCUGUUUCACAUCCCUGUGAGGUAUCACACUUCCUUUCCUCUCCAGGCCGCUGGAGAAAUGACAAUGUUGAACAGGAACACUGCUUUCUGUUUGAAUUGCAGCUAAUAGAAGUUUUUUUUUAAUGCGGAAUACUCCCCAACUUCUGGUGAAUUCUAAUUAUUCUCCAAUUUCUGCCUCAGCUGUAAGACUAAUCUGGUACUUCCUAGUGAGCCCCUGAAACCAUAGCGAGUACUUGGUUCCCUUUGCUCAUAUCCCUUUCAGUAUGUUACUAAAAUAAGUAGGGAUGGGAUCCGAACAGAGAUGUAAUGAGUAAGGAACCAAGUGUUGCAUGAAAAAUACCAGAUUUACAUUUGUUCAGGAUAUUACUAGGAUUACUAUACAUUAAAUGGCAUAAUUAGUAUCCCCUUUUAAAAUGCAUUUUACUAUGGCCAUGGAUUAAAGAAUAUGUUAAGAUCCAGAAAUCAAUUCUCCUUAUCAUUUAUUUCCAAGGCUCUGUUUCUGUGAGUAGUAUAGAUCUUUACUAAAAGAGAAAAGAGCUCUGAAUUACAAUUUUUUUUUUAACUUUUUGUAGAUAGUUUUACACGUCAAGUGUGGAGAUCUGAAGUGUUGAGCAGAGUGUAAGGAGGUGAAUAAAUUACUGUUCGAUUAGGCCA